AGGCAAUUAGUUUAAGGAGAACCUUUGAUUUCGGCUCAAAAACUUGUGGUUAAAGUCCACAAUUACCUA
rnacentral:tRNA from 6 species